AAAUUUUGCAGAAAAAGUGAAAUAUUGCAAAAAGUAUAAAUGGUAGAAAGGUGAAAAGUAAUAGCCGUAAUGUCCUGAAGGAGUGCAUUAGUAUAAAGUUUGAAUGGUGAAAAUAGCACAAAGUGGUGAGGAGUUGAAAAGGGCCAAAAAAGGUACGGAAGAAUAAUAAUAAUAAUAAUAAUAACUAGAAAAAUUGCAUUUCCUUGCAGAAAAUGCGUGGAAAUGCUGAGUGCUGAAAGCUGAAAAAGCAAUGCAAAACUGCCAAUAAAAAAUGGAGGAAGGUAUAAACGGAAAAACUGUAGAAAAGGUGGAGUAGAAGAAGAAGAAAUUGUAUGAAUGGAAGAAUUGUAGUAUAGCUGGAGGUAAAUUAGUUGGAUUAAUGUACAAAUUGUCUGAUAGCCUAAGUGAAAAAUGUAUAUGAUUGAUGUGAAUAAACAGAACUGAUAUGGAUAAUUGAAUUUGAAAAACAAAUGCCUUUAAACAAUAUGUAACAAUGUUCCUAUUAAAUGUACAAAUAGUAAAACAGAUUUUUGCAGUCUGCAGCAUCCAACCAUAGUAACUUGAGAAUGCAGAACAGCACCAUCUAUUGCCCUGCUUCAGUUACUGCCCUACAUCUGAAUGUAGAAAGUAUGAAACAGCUGAAGUUAAAUUAAUUGUAUAAAUGUAGAAAGUAUAGAAAAGAAAAGCAGAAGUAGAAGAAAAAGAAGAAGUUAGUAUGUUAAAAGAGUUAAAGACAAGAACUGUAACAACAAAGUUCAUAUUGGGGCUGUAUUUUCUACUGACAGAGAGACAGUAAUGCACACAUGGAAACAGUGUGUGUGUGUGUGAAUACAACUUUUGUAGCAGACACGUUGCUGAACAUUUUAAAGCAAAAAUGAGGUCUGUAGGUGAAAGUAUGCAGAAGUUAUAAGGGUGAGAAGGUGUUAUAGCUGUAUCUCCAUUCAUUUGUAAUGGAACAAAUUUUGCAGAAAAAGUGAAAUAUUGCAAAAAGUAUAAAUGGUAGAAAGGUGAAAAGUAAUAGCCGUAAUGUCCUGAAGGAGUGCAUUAGUAUAAAGUUUGAAUGGUGAAAAUAGCACAAAGUGGUAAGGAGUUGAAAAGGGCCAAAAAAGGUACGGAAGAAUAAUAAUAAUAAAGAAAUAGUAGAAUAACAAUAAGUGGAAAUGCUGUGUCAGCAUUUCCACUUAAUAA